rnacentral:rRNA from 1 species
UUUUGGACAAUGGGCGAAAGCCUGAUCCAGCAAUGCCGCGUGCAGGAUGAAGGCCUUCGGGUUGUAAACUGCCUUUGUACCCCCCCCCCCCGGCCUUUUCUAAUAAAGAGGGCUAAUGACGGUACCGUAAGAAUAAGCACCGGCUAACUACGUGCCAGCAGCCGCGGCAAUACGUAGGGUGCAAGCGUUAAUCGGAAUUGCUGGGCGUAAAGCGUGCGCAGGCGGUUAUGUAAGACAGUUGUGAAAUCCCCGGGCUCAACCUGGGAAUGGCAUCUGUGACUGCAUAGCUAGAGUACGGUAGAGGGGGAUGGAAUUCCGCGUGUAGCAGUAAAUGCGUAGAUAUGCGGAGGAACACCGAGGCGAAGGCAAUCCCCGGACCUUACUACGUCAGCAGAAA